rnacentral:lncRNA from 13 species
GUCAUAUUAUCCUGGUAGCACAUAUCCUCAGCCAGCCUAUAGCCACUGCUUUGACUUCCCAAGGGAAAUAACACAAUAGUUCAGGCAAAAUUAUUUUAUUUACCUGAAUGUGAUAUGUUUCUCAAACCAUGUCAGACUUACCUGUUUGGUUGAGCAAGUCCCCAUAGAGGUAUAAGGUGCCUUUGGCCCCUAAUAAAUGAGACUAGAAAUGAAAUUAAAAGCCACUUCAUUGGCUUUGUCCACUUUUUUCCCCCCUCAAUUAUAUCCAAUUUUCAAUUAUCUGAUCUAGACCUUAGCACCCCAAUGCUGAAAAAAUUUCAGGAUAAAAGAUGGAAGAAAGAAAGGUCUCACCUAAACACCUGAACUUACAGGCCUAAGGUAAUCUUAGGCAUCCUUUCUUUGGGAAGCACUGCAAUUCUCAUUGGCUUUCUAAUUUCUUCCUCCUAAAUCAAAAGAGACUCUGAAAUCUUCUACUACCCACUGGUAGAGAAGGAAAAGAAGUCACCAUUGGUCUGAAUUCCAAAAAGGUUCCAUUGAACCCAAGGGCUCAGAAUGUUAACCCUUCCCUUUAUGAUGUGGCAAACUCUUCCAUAGCUCAGUGGUCCGAUAACAAUCCUUAGACCUACAUUAACCUAUGUCAGUGCCCCAUCCUGAGUGUGAAGUGGUGCAAGAGAGGAGAGAAGAGAGGACCUUGGGCCUAAUGAUAGCCAAGCACCUACCCUGUACAAUUGGCACAUAAAAGAACUACGACGGAAAUCCAGUUCAAGAUAAUAACCCAACAACCCAGCCAACUCAGGAACUAGAACACUGUCAAGAGGUUACUUCUACUCCAAAUCUACCUCCUUGCUUGGGUGCCCAACCCCCAGAGGUGGUCCAUGGCUCUGGUCCACAUUAUCUCCAUUCUGGGAUCCAGCCUAAGGGAGCAUAUCUGAAACAUGCCAGUCUCUUGACGAAAGAAUACAAUGAAAAUGGUGCCCCCUGCAGCAUGAAAUCAGCAAUAUCACAUCCACCUCUCAUUUAA